GUUGAAUUAGUCUGCCAUUUACUUAGAAAUAUUCAAAAAUGUAUCGUUUUUUUAUGUAAAGGGCAGAAUCAUAUAUAAGGGUAAUUCAUAUUUUACAAGCCACUUCGAUAUAGCAUUUGCAGAAGCUCUACAUUACUCAAACCAAAAAUGUUCAAUUUUGUAUUCACUUUUACUACAGUUUUAGCUGGAAUAUCAUUUUCAGUUGCUGUGCCUGUUGCUGAUCCUAAUUUACCCGCUUUGGAACCUGGACCAGUGAAAAUAUCAACUCUACCAGCUUUGGAACCUGGUAAAUAAUUUAGCAAUAUUCUUUCUUUAAAAAAAUCAAUCAUGACAGUGCAAAUGAAAUUCUGGAUAUUAAAAAUUUUCAUUUGUUCAUUACUUAUUCAGUAAAAUUUCCAGAAAAAAUAAAAUUUUCAUUUUAAAGUGAAAAAUUAUUUUCAUAACAAUAUUUGUUUUAUGAAAUAAAUUAGAGCAGAUAUAGAAUGGAAUUAUGUAAAUGUAUAAUUACUUCAAAAGAUAUUGUUCUCUUUUCAAAAAAAUUCAUGUUACUUCUUACGAAUUUAAAUUUAGCAAUUAAUUUUAUUUUUUUCGCAUAGGUCCAGUGAAAAUAUGUGAGUACACAGAUUGAUAAUUCAAAUCUUUUAAAUUAAUAUUUCAAAGAUUUUUAGAUACCCCUUUUAAUGAAUGAGUAAAAUCAAGAAAGAAGUUAAACAUAAAUCUAUCUGUAUCUAUUAUAUAUUAUCUAUAAUCUAUUAUAUUAUUCUCUAUCUGUAUAUAUUAUUGAAAUUAAAGAGUUAGUCUAAACAUUUGUUAACUGAUCUUAUUAUUUUCCUUUUUUAUGUAGCAACUUUACCAGGUAAUUGCAUGGUUUUAAGAGUACGAAAAAUUUGUUUCGACUGUCAAAUUUAAAACUUUUAAUAUCAAAUAUUAUUCUGUCACGUUAUUUGAGGUUAUUAACUAAAUAAUAUUAAUAUUCUAUGCCAAUUGUACAAAAUAUGGUAAAAUUAUUUAUAAUCUUUAGAUAUUGAUUGUGACUUAUUUAACCACAUGAUUUAUAAAUAAUAACCAAGUAACAUUAAUUUUGGCACUAAUUCUGUAUUAUUUAACUAAUCAUGUAACAUACCAAAUAUGUAAAAUAUUUAGUACUGAUUAUUAAGCGUCUAAAGAGCGGCUUAAGACUCUAAGUAGGUUUUUUGUGUUACAAAAUAUUAUAAAAACGAUAAACUAUAAUAGCGUGUCCAUUUUAUUCGUUAACGUUUGAUUAAAUUCAUGAUGCCGGGUUUAAUGUUAAUUAUAAUUAUUUAUAAUUAAUAUUAAACCAGGUUUAAUAUUAAUUUAAAUUAUGAAUUUCUUUAGUCAUUCUGGAAGAGGGAAAAAAUUUCGUGUAACUUCCAUCAAUAUCAUUAAAAAAUAAUAGGUUUCUUUUUGUUCCUACUAAAUUUAAUUGGAAAUUCAUUGUUAUCAUUCUUAAUACAAAUUAAAUAUAUUACAAAUGAAAUUAUUUUUAUAAAUAUUUUAGAUAUUUAUCAUGAAAUAGUAUUAUAGAAAAGGUGUAAUAAUUAUUUUGUUUUGAAUCUUGAUUUAUUUUAUAGCCGUAAUUCCAAAAUCUGGAUCUUCUGAAGAAGGUAAAUAUUGGUUACACUUUAAUCACACUAAUAAGGUUAAAAUCAAUAAACAAAUAUUUUUUUAUAAUUUU